GCGGACAAGUUGGCGCGCGAUUAUUUUUCUUAAAACUUCAAAAUGUCAGGAAAAUCACGGGCAACGGGUAACUCUUCUCGUGACUAUGGUUAUCAGAGAAAGCAAAGAAAGAGGGCAAAGAAUAAAGCGCACAAGAGGAAGAGCAUCCAAAAAAAAGGUCAAACUUUGAAAGUGCUGGAACAAGUUGUGUACCUCCUUCGAGGACAAAGAAAAGGUCUUCUGUCUCUUUCUAAUUUGUUUUGCUUUUUUCAUUCAUUACUGCACUACUGACAUUCUCCCUGCAUCUUUAUUUCAGUUUACCUCGAGCAUUGCACCAUUCAGUAGAUAAGGAACAUCGCGAAAGAAAAGGACAGAGAGAGUUGAUGACGAUCUUGAAGAUGCUUCAAGGAACUGAACUUUUAUCUCUUUGAACUGUUCCCUGCUGUUUACGCAAUCAAGCAUUAGAUGUCAGAAGAACAACAAUAUUAACAGUAGAAAGACUGUGUAGUUUUUUUAAGUUCCUGCAAGUAUUUUAAGUUUUUUCUAGGUUUCCCUAUGUUUCUUACUUAGCUAAGCGAAAGUUUCUUUUUUAACAUUUACACUCUUGUACUAGGAUAGGAAUAAAUGUAACACUUUUUUCUUUGUGCAGGAAAA